rnacentral:lncRNA from 1 species
UACCCAAAGCGAUGCAAGACAAUUAUCCAUGUAAUGUAUGUUAGAUGGUGCAUGAAUGAAUGAUGAUGUCGUUCCAACCAAACUACGAAUCUAACGAGAAUACGUAGCAAAACUUAAAUUAUCAAUUUAACAAAGGUUAAAUGAAAGUCAAACCAAUGUUUGUUAUGAACAUGUAAGGGAUAGAAAAAUGAAAGAUCAAUCAAAAGAAAUAAGUCAAAACA